UAGGGAAUCUUCGGCAAUGGGGGGAACCCUGACCGAGCAACGCCGCGUGAGUGAAGAAGGUUUUCGGAUCGUAAAGCUCUGUUGUUAAGGAAGAACGAGUGUGAGAAUGGAAAGUUCAUGCUGUGACGGUACUUAAUCAGAAAGGGACGGCUAACUACGUGCCAGCAGCCGCGGUAAUACGUAGGUCCCGAGCGUUGUCCGGAUUUAUUGGGCGUAAAGCGAGCGCAGGCGGUUAGAAAAGUCUGAAGUGAAAGGCAGUGGCUCAACCAUUGUAGGCUUUGGAAACUGUUUAACUUGAGUGCAGAAGGGGAGAGUGGAAUUCCAUGUGUAGCGGUGAAAUGCGUAGAUAUAUGGAGGAACACCGGUGGCGAAAGCGGCUCUCUGGUCUGUAACUGACGCUGAGGCUCGAAAGCGUGGGGAGCGAACAGG
rnacentral:rRNA from 1 species